AAACUGACCAAUGCGCGAAAGCGUGAGUCGGUCAAUCCGAGUGUAGACCCAUCGGUUUACUUUUGUCAUGUGUACAACGCUUGGCGAAUAAUGUGAGGGCAAGACUGGUGCCAGCCGCCGCGGUAAAACCAGCUCAUAGAGUGGUGAUCGUGAUUAUUUGGCUUAAAGUGUGCGUAGCAGGGAAUUCUAAGUCCUCUGUGAAAUGUCAGGUCUUAAGCUUGACACGUGCAGAGGAUACUGGAAUCCUUGGGACCGGGAUAGGUGUAAUGUACGGUUUGGGUAGGGGUGAAAUCCGAUAAUCCAAGCCGGACAACCGGUGGCGAAGGCGUUACACUGGAACGGGUCCGACUGUGAGGCACGAAAGCUAGGGUCGCGAGCCGGAUUAGAUACCCGGGUAGUCCUAUGCUGUAAACGAUGCUCACUAAGUGUUAGGUAAUGCAAGACAUUCUCUAGUGCCGAAGCGAAAGCGUUAAGUGAGCCGCCUGGGAAGUACGUUCGCAAGAA
rnacentral:rRNA from 1 species